rnacentral:rRNA from 1 species
CCUACGGGAGGCAGCAGUGAGGAAUAUUGGUCAAUGGACGAGAGUCUGAACCAGCCAAGUAGCGUGAAGGAUGACUGCCCUAUGGGUUGUAAACUGCUUUUGUACGAGGGUAAACGCAGAUACGCGUACCUGUCUGAAAGUAUCGUACGAAAAAGCAUCGGCUAACUCCGUGCCAGCAGCCGCGGUAAUACGGAGGAUGCGAGCGUUAUCCGGAUUUAUUGGGUUUAAAGGGUGCGUAGGCGGACGGUUAAGUCAGCGGUCAAAUGUUGGUGCUCAACACCGGCCUGCCGUUGAAACUGGUCGUCUUGAGUGCGCGAGGAGUAUGCGGGAUGCGUGGUGUAGCGGUGAAAUGCAUCGAUAUCACGCAGAACUCCGAUUGCGAAGGCAGCAGACCGGCGCUCAACUGACGCUGAGGCACGACAGCGUGGGGAUCGAACAGGAUUAGAUACCCGAGUAGUC